CCCUUGAGUUUGAUCCUGGCUCAGGACGAACGCUGGCGGCGUGCCUAACACAUGCAAGUGGAGCGACGAACCGGGCUUCGGCCCGGGGCAAAGCCGCGAACGGGUGAGUAACACGUGGGUAACCUGCCCUGAUGAUUGGGACAACCCGAGGAAACUCGGGCUAAUACCGAAUGUGCCCUCCGGCCGUAAGGCCGCUGGGGAAAGGAAGCUUCGGCCUCCGCAUCGGGAUGGGCCCGCGGCCCAUUAGCUUGUUGGUGAGGUAACGGCUCACCAAGGCGACGAUGGGUAGCUGGUCUGAGAGGACGAUCAGCCACACUGGGACUGAGACACGGCCCAGACUCCUACGGGAGGCAGCAGUGGGGAAUCUUGCGCAAUGCGCGAAAGCGUGACGCAGCAACGCCGCGUGGGGGAAGACGGCCUUCGGGUUGUAAACCCCUUUCAGUUGGGACGAAGCUCCGUCGGUGAAUAGCCGGCUGGAGUGACGGUACCUUCAGAAGAAGCCCCGGCUAACUACGUGCCAGCAGCCGCGGUAAUACGUAGGGGGCAAGCGUUGUCCGGAAUCAUUGGGCGUAAAGAGCGUGUAGGCGGCUCGGUAAGUCCGCUGUGAAAGUCCAGGGCUCAACCCUGGAAUGCCGGUGGAAACUGU
rnacentral:rRNA from 1 species